GCGGGAGCUGAGGUGUUCUGGAGUCGACGGCGGCGUCCCUUCGGACGGCGGUGGCCUAAGUGUCGCCGGUGUAUCCUUGGCAAGGAGAUAGCGGGAUUGGGUGGAGGUGGUAUCUUUUGCAACAGCGUAUGGCAGAAUCGCCUGGGAGUCCGGGCAGAAGGCUUCUCCGGCGGCGGCGGCGGCCCUAGGGGCAGCGCGGAUCCCGUUGACGGUGGCUGCCCUAGGGGCGGCAGAUGCCUGGGAGUCCGGUGGAAGAGAUUGAUUUUCCUCGACAGCGAGGUCUCCGACGACGGCCCUUGGGGCGGUGACGAGCUGGGAAUCCAGGAGGGGAGGAGGAUCCCGAAGAUGGUGACGGCCCUAGGGGCGGCAGAGGCCUAG
rnacentral:lncRNA from 1 species